rnacentral:rRNA from 1 species
AUGAGAGUUUGAUCCUGGCUCAGGACGAACGCUGGCGGCGUGCCUAAUACAUGCAAGUAGAACGCUGAAGAGAGGAGCUUGCUCUUCUUGGAUGAGUUGCGAACGGGUGAGUAACGCGUAGGUAACCUGCCUUGUAGCGGGGGAUAACUAUUGGAAACGAUAGCUAAUACCGCAUAACAAUGGAUGACACAUGUCAUUUAUUUGAAAGGGGCAAUUGCUCCACUACAAGAUGGACCUGCGUUGUAUUAGCUAGUAGGUGAGGUAAUGGCUCACCUAGGCGACGAUACAUAGCCGACCUGAGAGGGUGAUCGGCCACACUGGGACUGAGACACGGCCCAGACUCCUACGGGAGGCAGCAGUAGGGAAUCUUCGGCAAUGGGGGCAACCCUGACCGAGCAACGCCGCGUGAGUGAAGAAGGUUUUCGGAUCGUAAAGCUCUGUUGUAAGUCAAGAACGGGUGUGAGAGUGGAAAGUUCACACUGUGACGGUAGCUUACCAGAAAGGGACGGCUAACUACGUGCCAGCAGCCGCGGUAAUACGUAGGUCCCGAGCGUUGUCCGGAUUUAUUGGGCGUAAAGCGAGCGCAGGCGGUUUGAUAAGUCUGAAGUUAAAGGCUGUGGCUCAACCAUAGUUCGCUUUGGAAACUGUCAAACUUGAGUGCAGAAGGGGAGAGUGGAAUUCCAUGUGUAGCGGUGAAAUGCGUAGAUAUAUGGAGGAACACCGGUGGCGAAAGCGGCUCUCUGGUCUGUAACUGACGCUGAGGCUCGAAAGCGUGGGGAGCGAACAGGAUUAGAUACCCUGGUAGUCCACGCCGUAAACGAUGAGUGCUAGGUGUUGGAUCCUUUCCGGGAUUCAGUGCCGCAGCUAACGCAUUAAGCACUCCGCCUGGGGAGUACGACCGCAAGGUUGAAACUCAAAGGAAUUGACGGGGGCCCGCACAAGCGGUGGAGCAUGUGGUUUAAUUCGAAGCAACGCGAAGAACCUUACCAGGUCUUGACAUCCCGAUGCUAUUUCUAGAGAUAGAAAGUUACUUCGGUACAUCGGUGACAGGUGGUGCAUGGUUGUCGUCAGCUCGUGUCGUGAGAUGUUGGGUUAAGUCCCGCAACGAGCGCAACCCCUAUUGUUAGUUGCCAUCAUUCAGUUGGGCACUCUAGCGAGACUGCCGGUAAUAAACCGGAGGAAGGUGGGGAUGACGUCAAAUCAUCAUGCCCCUUAUGACCUGGGCUACACACGUGCUACAAUGGUUGGUACAACGAGUUGCGAGUCGGUGACGGCGAGCUAAUCUCUUAAAGCCAAUCUCAGUUCGGAUUGUAGGCUGCAACUCGCCUACAUGAAGUCGGAAUCGCUAGUAAUCGCGGAUCAGCACGCCGCGGUGAAUACGUUCCCGGGCCUUGUACACACCGCCCGUCACACCACGAGAGUUUGUAACACCCGAAGUCGGUGAGGUAACCUUUUGGAGCCAGCCGCCUAAGGUGGGACAGAUGAUUGGGGUGAAGUCGUAACAAGGUAGCCGUAUCGGAAGGUGCGGCUGGAUCACCUCCUUUCUA